AAUCUUGAGAUCCGGUUCACAGCCCUAGCUACCCGGACAGCAACCCUCUCACCGUAGUGGGGUGCUCUAGGUGAUGAUUCGGCCCGACGAACAAAUCGUGGGCAAGUACGGUGC
rnacentral:ncRNA from 2 species